UUGGAGCUGUGCACACAAAUUUCCCAACUCUUUGUGGCCAUCGAUUUUAAGAUAUUGCAAAGAAGGCAAUUGGGCAGCAAAAUUCUUUGGACCAAAAAAGCUGUCAUUUGAUAUGGAAGAAAGAGACAAUUUUCUUAGUCGAGGUAACUUGAUGAUGACAUCUGUGGCGAGUGCAUCUCCUUCUCUACUGUAAAAUAUUUGCUUUAAAUUAUGAGCUUCAAAAAUCCACAUGUCUUCCAGGUUUAGAAGGCUUGGACACACAGAGACAGGGAGGGCAUAUUCCAGUUUACCACAGCGAGAUAUAAGGAGUGUUUUUAAUUUUGGGAAGAUAGGAGACUCUGGAAUUAUUUCCCUUUCACCAUCCUCUUCUAUGAUAAUAUGCUUCAAUUCACCGCAUUCACUUAUGUAAAGGCUUUCUAGCUUUGGCAGACUUUGAGCGAGGGACGGUGUGAAGAUAAAUGUCAGUUUGUCGAGAGAAUCCAAAUUCAG